CUCUAUGUGCUCACUGCAUGGGGUGUGCAUAUUUUUAUUCAAUACCCAGAGUAUGCAGUGUGAACAUAAUAGAG
rnacentral:pre_miRNA from 1 species